rnacentral:rRNA from 1 species
CCUACGGGAGGCAGCAGUGAGGAAUAUUGGUCAAUGGCCGUAAGGCUGAACCAGCAAAGUCGCGUGAAGGAAGAAGGAUCUAUGGUUUGUAAACUUCAUUUAUAGGGGAAUAAAGGUAUCCACGCGUGGAUAUUUGCAUGUACCCUAUGAAUAAGCAUCGGCUCACUCCGUGCCAGCAGCCGCGGUAAUACGGAGGAUGCGAGCGUUAUCCGGAUUUAUUGGGUGUAAAGGGGGCGUAGGUUGUUGUGUAAGUCGGGGGGGAAUGUUUGUGGAUCAACCAUAAAAUUGCUGUUGAAACUGGAAGACUUGAGUGUUUGUGAGGGAGGCGGAAUGCGUGGUGUAGCGGUGAAAUGCAUAGAUAUAACGAGGAACACCAAUUGCGAAGGCAGCUUACUAGGCCAUAACGGACAUUGAAGCACGAAAGCGUGGGGAUCAAACAGGAUUAGAUACCCUAGUAGUC